ensembl:piRNA 21ur-2050 ncRNA
UUCUCUCAAUCUCGUUUGUAA